ACUAGAAACCUGUCCUUCAAGGGC
rnacentral:piRNA from 1 species